AACGAACGUUAGCGGCGCGCCUAACACAUGCAAGUCGAGCGAGAAGGAAGCAAUUCCUGUAAAGCGGCGCACGGGUGAGUAACACGUAGGUAAUCUACCUCGAAGUGGUGGAUAACCUUCCGAAAGGAGGGCUAAUACAGCAUGAGACCACGGUUUCGAAAGAGAUUGAGGUCAAAGCGGGCCACUAUACAUAAGCUCGCGCUUCGAGAUGAGCCUGCGGCCCAUCAUGGUAGUUGGUAGGGUAAUGGCCUACCAAGCCGAAGACGGGUAGCUGGUCUGAGAGGAUGAUCAGCCACACUGGAACUGAGACACGGUCCAGACUCCUACGGGAGGCAGCAGUGGGGAAUCUUGCGCAAUGGGCGAAAGCCUGACGCAGCGACGCCGCGUGAGUGAUGAAGGC
rnacentral:rRNA from 1 species